GGAGAAGCAAAAUGAUGAGUAGUACUGGCUGGAGCCCCAAAGAGGCAUAUUUGUGUGUGUGUGUGUGUGUGUGUGUGUGUGUGUGAGUCUGUGUCCUUGAUUGUGCAUACACAUAUGUGUCUGGGAAUUUGAGUGUGUGUGACUGGUUGUAGGGAACUAAUUAUAUGCUUUCUGUUGGGCCAUGACAGUUAAACUGAUAAGAUCUGAUUGCUUC
rnacentral:snoRNA from 1 species